rfam:Brochothrix thermosphacta DSM 20171 = FSL F6-1036 c6, whole genome shotgun sequence.
CGAAAACAUUUCUAGGGUUCCGCGACAGUUUACUGUUGGCCUGGUCCGAGAGAAAUGCGCAGCCGCUAUGGGUGUGACACGGAAGGACAAAAGCCUGGGAGAA